rnacentral:tRNA from 1 species
UUGGUAGUGACAGAGUGGUAAUGUGCCCGGCUGUUAACCGGUGACCCGAAAGGCGGUGGUUCGAUCCCACCCUACCGAACCA